AUUUACGUUCCCCACAGAUUCCCAUUUGUGGCUGUGUCGAUUGCCUUUGCCGUCAACAAGGAGCUGGAGUUUGGAAUCGUCUACAGCUGUUUGGAAGAUAAAAUGUACAAAGCCAGAAAAGGUCAAGGGGCUUUCUGUAACGACGAGCUCAUUCAGGUGUCGGAUGUCAAAG